GAUGAACGCUGGCGGCGUGCCUAACACAUGCAAGUCGAACGGGGUUAAGGGAAGUUUUCGGAUGGAACUUAACUUAGUGGCGGACGGGUGAGUAACGCGUGGAUAACCUGCCUCACACUGGGGGAUAGCAGCUGGAAACGGCUGGUAAUACCGCAUAAGACCACAGCACCGCAUGGUCCAGGGGUAAAAGAUUUAUCGGUGUGAGAGGGAUCCGCGUCUGAUUAGCCAGUUGGCGGGGUAACGGCCCACCAAAGCGACGAUCAGUAGCCGGCCUGAGGGGGUGAACGGCCACAUUGGGACUGAGACACGGCCCAAACUCCUACGGGAGGCAGCAGUGGGGAAUAUUGCACAAUGGGCGCAAGCCUGAUGCAGCAACGCCGCGUGAGUGAAGAAGUAUUUCGGUAUGUAAAGCUCUAUCGGCAGGGAAGAAAGGCCCGAAAGGGAGAUGACGGUACCUGACUAAGAAGCCCCGGCUAACUACGUGCCAGCCGCCGCGGUAACAC
rnacentral:rRNA from 1 species